rnacentral:rRNA from 1 species
UAUUGGACAAUGGGCGAAAGCCUGAUCCAGCAAUGCCGCGUGAGUGAUGAAGGCCUUCGGGUCGUAAAGCUCUUUUACCAGGGAUGAUAAUGACAGUACCUGGAGAAUAAGCUCCGGCUAACUCCGUGCCAGCAGCCGCGGUAAUACGGAGGGAGCUAGCGUUGUUCGGAAUUACUGGGCGUAAAGAGUACGUAGGCGGUUAUUCAAGUCAGAGGUGAAAGCCCGGGGCUCAACCCCGGAACUGCCUUUGAAACUAGAUAACUAGAGUCUUGGAGAGGUCAGUGGAAUUCCGAGUGUAGAGGUGAAAUUCGUAGAUUUUCGGAAGAACACCGGUGGCGAAGGCGACGAACGGCUUGGUACGACGCGAGGACGAGG